UUUUGCAGAACCCUCGUCAUCCUGUCGUUGCAGUGUUAUGAAAGCAAUUCUCCCAAGAUGCAGUUCCGUUAAGAGACGCUGGGAGCAGAGCUGAGAAUUUUCAGCUGCGUCACAGAACAGAUAGAGAAGAAACUGUCUGGCGACAGGUCUCUGAAAACCAGCUACUGCUGCUGCUACAGCAGGAAAGAGCUAUGGAAGUAUCGUAGGCUGGGCUUUCCUAUAACCAUUGCAUCUUUUCAAAAACCAAUACCUCAUCUUCAAAUUUCUAUGCUUUUAGCUGUGAUCAGCUGGAAAAUCAUGAAUUUGUUUAUCCGACAGGGUGAUGUUUAUCCGACAUGGCGAUGUGUUUGGAGUGGGGGCAUUGAACGUCAAUAUUCGGAAUUGGGAAUAGGGUUUAGAAAUGGGUUAACUACGAUUCUGGAAUCUUCCACCCAUACAUGGAGGUCACACGAUUACCCAAACCUACGCAGCAGCGAUUGGGGGUAAGCGAUAUAUUUAGAGAGUCUGGCUGCUUUUAGAGACGUGUUACUAGAACCUCGGAGGUAUUGAAAACUGCGUCACUUCUACUGUGACGACGCAGAUGUUAUAAGGGUAAAUCCUUUCCCUAAAAACUUAACUUCACUUUUUUCUAUGGAACAUACUGGUGAACUACGUUGUUUUUUUUUUUGCAAUACAGACGGUUUAAGAGCCAAGCUGCAUAGUUUUAUUCUCAUCCCGGACACCGGAGAAGCUCAAAUCACAGCACCUGUACUACAAAAAAUGGCUGAGCAGAAUGACAAAUCUUUUGGCAGGAACAUGUAAUAAAAAGGAAAAAUCUCCAGGUCAUCACCAUCAAGAAUUGUGUCUGCAUGUGAAGAUAUUGGUCACAGUGGUUCAAGCUUACAGAAUUCUUCAGUCUCAUCAGAAAAGCUGAGAAUUAAGUCUAUUCCCAGAAGCUGGUUUCUUGUGGUGACUUAGAUUUAAUAAUGAAUGUAUCUAGCACCAUUUGAAAUCAGUGUUUUAGGAGUAAGACCCACAUCUUUUAGAAGCACAGCAAAAAACCUGAUGGCAAGUAUACAAAAAAUAAUAUAUACCGUAUUUAUCGGUGUAUAUCACGCACAGGCGUAUAACACGCACCCUAACUUUAAGA